UCCCGAUGAGGAAGAAUUCCCAUAGAUAGGAAGUGCCGUAUGACAUAUUAAUCAGGCAGCGGCAAC